CCUACGGGUGGCAGCAGUGGGGAAUAUUGCACAAUGGAGGAAACCCUGAUGCAGCGACGCCGCGUGGACGAAGAAGUCUUUCGGGAUGUAAAGCCCUAUCAGCAGGGAAGAGGAGCUGACGGUACCUGAGUAAUAAGCACCGGCUAAAUAUGUGCCAGCAGCCGCGGUAAUACGUAUGGUGCAAGCGUUAUCCGGAUUUACUGGGUGUAAAGGGCGCGCAGGCGGCACGGCAAGACGGAUGUGAAAGCCCCGGGCCCAACCGGGGGACUGCAUUGGGAACUGUCGGGCUGGAGUGCCGGAGAGGUAGGCGGAAUUCCUAGUGUAGCGGUGAAAUGCGUAGAUAUUAGGAGGAACACCAGUGGCGAAGGCGGCUUACUGGACGGUGACUGACGCUGAGGCUCGAAAGCGUGGGGAGCAAACAGGAUUAGAUACCCGAGUAGUC
rnacentral:rRNA from 1 species